GAACAACGCUGGACGGCGUGCUUACACAUGUCAGUCUGAGCGGUAGCCCUUUCGGGGGUACACGAGCGGCGAACGGGUGAGUAACACGUGGGUGACCUGCCCUCCACUCUGGGAUAAGCCCGGGAAACUGGGUCUAAUACCGGAUAGGACCACUGAUCGCAUGGUUGGUGGUGGAAAGUUUUUUCGGUGGGGGAUGGGCCCGCGGCCUAUCAGCUUGUUGGUGGGGUGAUGGCCUACCAAGGCGGUGACGGGUAGCCGGCCUGAGAGGGCGACCGGCCACACUGGGACUGAGACACGGCCCAGACUCCUACGGGAGGCAGCAGUGGGGAAUAUUGCGCAAUGGGCGGAAGCCUGACGCAGCGACGCCGCGUGGGGGAUGACGGCCUUCGGGUUGUAAACCUCUUUCGCCAGGGACGAAGAGCAAUUGACGGUACCUGGAGAAGAAGCACCGGCCAACUACGUGCCAGCAGCCGCGGUAACACGUAGGGUGCGAGCGUUGUCCGGAAUUAUUGGGCGUAAAGAGCUCGUAGGCGGUGUGUCGCGUCGGCCGUGAAAACUUGGGGCUUAACUCUGAGCGUGCGGUCGAUACGGGCAUCACUUGAGUUCGGCAGGGGAGACUGGAAUUCCUGGUGUAGCGGUGAAAUGCGCAGAUAUCAGGAGGAACACCGGUGGCGAAGGCGGGUCUCUGGGCCGAUACUGACGCUAGGAGCGAAAGCG
rnacentral:rRNA from 1 species